rnacentral:misc_RNA from 1 species
GAGAGAGAGAGAGAACAAAGAUGUGUUGGGUUGUGUUUUGUGAUGAAAAGGAGAGAGAAUUAGGUAGGCAGCAAGCAUCUGGAUCAUGUCCCUACUGUGGAGGAAAAGUUCAAGCCGUGGAUGUUGAAACAAAAUGGAGUUUCUGCUUUUUGCCAAUUUGUUACAAAAUCAAGAGGAAGUACUUCUGUUCUUUAUGUGCCAGGCGUUUGGAAUUAUACCAAUGAAUAGCCACAGAAGACAGCUUCUUCUUUGCCUAACCAAGAAAUGCAAGCUUCAAUGGUGAUAACGUCAAGAUUCUGUGUUUGUUUUCUUCCUCUUGUCCUUCUUCUUUGAAUUUUUUAUUUGUUUAAUGUUGUAAAGUUUUACUUAACUUCUCUUUUACCCAUGUCAAGAAACUUUUCUUGGAUUCUUGUUUAAAUUGGUUAAUUGUUCAUACGAAAUCUGGUAAGUUUUGGAUCUGCUGAUGGAAAAAAAUAAAAAUUAGAACAGGGGAUCUGAAAUGGGUUUUCUGUGAUCUGUUUAUCUUUGAAUAUUUGCUUGAGAUUUGCAGGCAUAUCUCUGGAUUUUGAAAGUUAAUUUUCCAUUACACAGUUGUUUU